AUUGAACGCUGGCGGCAGGCCUAACACAUGCAAGUCGAGCGGAUGAAGGCUGCUUGCUCCUGGAUCCAGCGUCGGACGGGUGAGUAAUGCCUAGGAAUCUGCCUGGUAGUGGGGGAUAAUGUCCGGAAACGGGCGCUAAUAACGCCUACGACCUGCGGGAGAAAGUGGGGGAGCUUUGGACCUCACGCUAUCAGAUGAGCCUAGGUCGGAUUAGCUAGUUUGUGGGGUAAGGGCCUACCUAGGCGAGAAUCGGUAACUGGUCGGAUAGAAUGGUUGGUCACACUGGAGCUGAGACACGGUCCUUACGCCUACGGUAGGCAGCAGAGGGCAAUGGUGGGCAAUGGGCGGAAGCCUGAUCCAGCCAGGCGACGUGUGUGGAGAAGGUCUUCGGAGUGUAAAGCACUUUAACGGGGUAGGAACGGCAUUAGGUUAAGACCUAGCGUUUUUGACGUUACCAACAGAAGAAGCACCGGCUAACUUCGUG
rnacentral:rRNA from 1 species